rnacentral:lncRNA from 1 species
CGGAGAGAGCGCAGCGCGGGGCACAGCGGGCGGUCUCCGUGCCGCGCGCGCGACUGGAAACGGCGUGCAGAUCCUAAAACGAGGGUUCCACAGAGGGCCACGAGGGGCAGGAGAGAGUCCCCGGAGAACUCUAGCUCCCCGACACGGCUACCUCUUGGCAAACGAGCGAGAAUUGGGGCGCAGAGCCUUGGGAGGGCCGUUCCCUCGGCGGGAGCGGCCCGAGCACAGCCUCACAGCAGAUGCGAGCGCGGCGGGCGCUUUGGUGACGAAGUAGCGGGACCUGCAGGAGGCAGAGGCCUGGUGGGGCCGUGGACGCCACGCCGAGCUGCCCAGACCCUUCCAGAAGACAGUGGGGACUAUUCAACGGUUUCCAGCAGAAACUAAGCCAGGUGUUCGUUUUACGGAGAUUGCUCGGCUGCAGGGUGGAGGCUGGAUGAGAACAGGCGUCCUCUCAGGUAGGCGCUCGUGGUGGUAACGCUGCCCAGGAGGAGGGCACGGGUUCCGGGAAGACUUGCGAGGUUAAACCGGCAGCUCCGGAGAACUGAGCGCAAGAGGUCGGUGACACAGAGAGGAGUCCGGGAGGCCGCAUGUUUCAGGCUGAAGUCACUUGGCGGGGACGUUUAUUGAGAUGCGAAACACAGGAAGGGAUAGAGGCUGCGCAGAGGGAAAAGGCGAUGGACUCGGUUUUGGAAACGCUGAUGUGAAGUCCCUACGAUGAAAAAAGAAAUCUUCCGAUUUCUCCCUUUGAAGUCUUUGCUUCUUCCGUUGCAAAGAACACAGCCUAUGACAUCAGGUUGAAACCAAGAAUGUAGUUCUCUGAAAAUACUGUGUGUGGGGGAGGGAGUUUAUCUUGUCUCAUUCCUUACAAGGAUACUUUGCUCUCCGACACCUUAGCUCCCUGAAAGUUUCCUAGAUCGUCCAUCUUUUCCUCAUUUUUUCGACUGCAAGCAAUGAACUGUUAAUUUUUUACAGUUUGGUUUUACAGCCACACACUUUAUUCUUCUUUGUCAAGUUUAAAGUAUUCUAGGGCUUGUGCCUUCCCACAUAAAAUUUAGAAUAAACUUGUCUGUUUCUACAAAAAGCCAUGUUGGUAUUUCGAGAGGAAUUGCAAUCAACCUAUGGAUCAAAUUGAGAAUUGUAUCCUUAUUAUGUUGAAUCUUCCAACCCACGAACAUGGGUGGAGAGAGAGUUAGAAUGAAGGCGAAGUUUCCUACGCACAUAAAGCUCAGUGAGAAAGCAAUUCCAAGAGUAAUGGAAGGAAAACGACUCUCGGGAAUUCAGUUUGAACACUGGCGACUGAGCCCAUAAACAUCUUUCUGGAAUGAGGUUUGCAGAAGAAAGCAGCGGUCUAACCUGUGGUAGCCUGUGACUCUGACAUUAACACCAGAGCGGUGGGUCUCAAAGUGUGGUUCUCAGACAAGCUGUGGCAGCCUCACUUGAAGACUUGUUGCAGAUACAAAUUCCCAGGCCCACACUAGACCCUCUGGAGCAGAAGCUCUGGGGUUGAGGCCCGCAAUCUGCGCUCCCAUGCCCUCCAGGCGAUUCCAGCACAGGCUGAGGUUUGAGAAGGGUGCUGUGAAAGGGGCAGGGAAGCCCCAUUAUAUAAUGUUUCCAGCAAGGCAGCCUCACGUUGCUUCACCGAAGUCACUCAAAGAAGCCUCUGCCCCUCCUGCUUUUCCAAGAGUCGUGUCAUUUCAAGACUUCCGCACUGGCUGUAGAGAGUGGAGACAGCCAGGCUCCGAGCCCGACCCCAACGGCUUCCAUGUUUCCUCGAUAGAAUGUCUGUGACUACCAAGAAGAUACCCAUAUAGUGAUGGUUUAUUUUAUUGAAAAAUACACUAGUAAUAUUGAGACAGGUAUCUUUUAGGCCAUCUGGCUGAUAAUCAAUAUAGAGCUACUGAUGACCAUACUGGCUCACAUUUGCCUUGUCCAUCACUGUUCUUGGAUCCCUGAGAACCACGUACUCGAUAACCUUAGAGAAAAGCCCCGGCUGUGGUUUUCAACAUGCUUUCUCAUCCAUUAUCUCAGUUCACCCUUCUCGCAGAUCUCCAGAGGAAAAGGGCAGCAGCAGAGCGAUCUGAGGCCCCCCGAAAGGGACGAAGCUGCGGCUCUGGACUCCAGGCCCCUGCCAGAACAGCUCUGCGGAACGGGAGGGAGGAGGAAGCCUCGAGACAGACAGGGCUUGACUGCACCCUGAGGCCCAGGAGGCAUGGGGACAGAGAGUGGGGAAAGCAGCGAUCCCGCCCCCGUUCUGAAGGGAAGAGAAUAACCUCUGGCAAUUUUUACCUUCUAGAAUCUGGUGGACCCUGGAGUCCCGCACGUACUGCUGAACAGCGUAAUCCUUCAGGUAGCCGUAGCCCCCGUGCAUCUGCAAGGCCUGGUUGCAGAUCUGCAGGGAGACAGGGACUAGACGUCUUGGACUCUGGGAAGACUGUGGAGCAAGCAGCUUCCCUUCCUACCCCAGCCCACGAUCUGGCAGCCCGCCAUAAACCCAUGAAAGAACCACAAACAGCCAAGCUCAAAGAGGGCCUCCACAUUCUGUAUGGUUAGAGACAAGGGAAGUUCACCUACUAAACUUGUCAGUUCCCCCCAGACAGGCGACUCAAAGCCCUCUGCCCCUCUCCCUUAUUACCUGCCAGGCAGAAGCUGCCCACAGCCACCCUGGCUGGGAUGAUAAAAAGCUAUGGUUCCCCCUAGUGGCAAUGCAGCCUGACAAUGUAAACAUGGCAGAGUGCUAAAUUGGGGCUGCUGUGAACCUUCCAAAGGUGGUUUCUCGCCUAGAACACAACCAAACAACAGUGACAUAAUGAAGUGUAUAAUGGCAUGCAGCAGGCCUAAAAGCCAGCGAUGAGAGCUCCCACAUAGGCCGCUCAUGAGUUCAUUUAUAUCCUUAAGCUUAAGGUGAUCCUUGUGGGAUUCCAGGAGGGCUGGGUUCCAAAUCUGACUCAUGUCUCUCAAGACCCCUGGGCCUAGCAGCUGUUCCCUGUCCAUCCCAGGAGAGCCAGAGGAAUCACUUACGGCAAAGCAUUCAUCUGUAGCAAAGAGCUUGGCCAUGGAGCACAAGGCCACUGCAUCCUUCCUCUCCUCCUGCAGAGCCACUGCUGCAUUGCGGACCAUCAGCCGCGCGGCCACCAGCCUUGUUGCCAUAUCAGCCAGUGUGAAUUGCAAGUACUGCAGCACAGGGAGCAGAGAACCAGACAAGACUGAGGGGCUUAGACCAGCACCUGGUGCAGGAGCCUCGGUAAGACAUCUCGGAGGCGCCUUUUCUAAGUGAUCCAAAGCUUCAAAGUCUCUUGCUUUUUCUAUAGAGGAAAUUUAUUGCUUUUAAGUGCUAAGUCCACUUCACUCACCCGACACUUUAAUAUCGUUAAAGAUAUCCCAAGAAAAGAUGGACAGAAAUAAAGCACAAGCUCUGGCUAGGACAGUGGUGGGACUGACAGAGGAAUUUCCUGGCUUCUCUCCUGGAAAUGUGGGCCCUAGAGCAGGUCCCGGGCUGCAAAUAGUGCAAAGCCAUGUGGAGGCAAGGCAGAGGUUACCUGGUUACUGGCCAGAGGCUCUCCAAACUGCUUCCGGACAUUGAGGUGGUCUCGGGUGAGGAUGACAGAGGCGUGGGCAGCCCCCAGGGAGCAGGAAGCUAGAGGGGAAGAGCGCCGACGUUCCAACCAAGCUGGAAAACAGCAGUGCCUGUCCCGGACCGCUACCUCCCUGCCACACCCCUGCGUAUCUCACCAAUAUUGAUCCUCCCUCCGUUCAGUCCUCUCACGGCAAUGAGGAAGCCCUGCCCCUCGCUCCCAAUUCUGUUGGCCACAGGGACAGCACAGUCUUCGAAGAUCACAGCUCGUGUUGGCUGGGAGUUCCACCCCACCUGGCAAAAAUCAGGGACUGCGUGGUUGCCCAACAAUCCAGCAGGUAGGGCGGCCUUCCCUGGGGACGGGAGCCUGUGAGGUAUGGGUUUCAGCACCCAAGACUUAGACCCACAAGAACUUAAAAUGAGGAAAAAGAAAAAGUUCAGGUUUAAAGGCCUGUCAGCACUCAGAAAGAUACCUGUUUCAGCUAAACAUUUUCUAACUUAUUAAGAGAAUCUACUAAUGUCUACUCUACCUGACUAACCUACAAACACUUCUCACAACUUCUUUUAGGAUUGUGACACCAACUGCCCCCAAUUUCAGUGCCUCUAAUUGAAAACCACAAACUAUCUACAAUCUCCCAGUUCCUCUCUGGCUCUGAAAAUAGACUGCCUUUACAUCAUUUCCUUGCUCUCUUUUGUUGAUAGGAUAAACUCCAUUUCUAAGCCUUUUACUGAAGGUCUUCCUGCCCAGGAGUUAGCAUGGGCUUCACACACAGUAGAAGCCUAGGAAAUGGUUGCUGUGUUACCAAAGAGAAGGGGAUGCUAAAAUGCAUAAUGCCUUACAGUUACAGAGGAUCAGGAAGGAUCCUGUAGGAAAAUACAGAAACCCGAGGAGCUGUGAGAAAGAGGUACACUUAGGGGUCAUUUCAUUACCUGCCUUCUCUCACAAAGUCCCCCCAUAACAGUACAAACUAGAGAGAGAUGACUGCUUUGAGCAUCUGGUCUAAAAAAUCUGAAUGGGUCUUGAGCCCUUAUUACCAAUUACGGUUACAUGAUCACAAGUCUCCUGUUCAUGCCCUGGCCAUGGCGGCUCUUAAUCCUAGAAGUAUCUUACUUUUCAAAUUACUUACAGUACCUAAGUGUCCUUCUUGGGUUGCUGAAAUACCCACAAUCAUCUCCAAUGAGUUUUACUUUAUUUUUAAUCAAAGAAGCAAAAGGGACCACACGCCUUCCAUUACUGAGACUUGUGGCCAACACCAGGUCUUCUCUAAGCGUCUCUUCCUGGAGCAACAAAGUGCACCAACGUAAGCAGCUGGAUAAGGAACACAGGCCAAAAGCAGAGGCAGGAGAGGUCAGAACACUCACAGGUGGCUUGAAGAAUUUACUGGCAAACAUUGUCACUUUCCCCAGAGGCCUAGUGUUUAAUAAUGCCCUGUUGUAUUUCAUAUGCUCCUGUUGAAAAUCCUAAUAGAAGCAACUGCUUCAAAGGUAGGUUAGCAAGUAUGCAAACCUGUUUUCUGAAAUAGAGCAGGAGUUGGGCUGGCAGGUGGCAGAGUCUCAUAACCUGAAUUGUUUCCUGUCCAACAGCCACUCACCUUUUUCUCCUUCUUGCCAAAGCUGAGGCCAGGGGUCCCCUUCUCAACAACUAUGCAUGAGAUGCCCUUGGGGCCUGGUCCUCCUGUUCGGCACAUGACCACAUAGAUGUCUGACUCACCAGCACCACUGAUGAAGGCCUGUGGGGGUAAAAGGGGUGCAAAAGGACCAGGGAAUGCUUGAGUUCUCACAGCGUCUGGGAACACCACUGGGUCCUCCUGACAAUAAGGUCCAAUGGCACAGAGACUGACAAUAAGGUCCAAUGGCACAGAGACUGACAAUAAGGUCCAAUGGCACAGAGACUGACAAUAAGGUCCAAUGGCACAGAGACUGACAAUAAGGUCCAAUGGCACAGAGACUGACAAUAAGGUCCAAUGGCACAGAGACUGAGGUGAGGUAAAAGGUCGCUGCAGUGACUGCAGAUCAGAGAGGCAGUCCAAGAGAGUAUAAAAAGGAUAGACAAAAGUCAACGAAAUGAUCUGGAAUCAGAUUAGGAGAGAUACAAACAGUGAGAAUAAAGAAAGAGAAAUGGGUCAGAGGUUCUCUUCCCAACACAUAAAAAUCCUAUGGGAGUAUUAACCCGCGGAUGUGAAGGAACCAGAGGAUGUCAGGAGGAAGCUGGGAACAAUCUCCAAAGUGCUCUGGGAGGACGCACGCUAGUACCUUGGAGCCAUUGAGGAUGUAAUGAUCUCCCUGUUUCUUAGCGGAGGUCAGAAGAGAGGCAGCAUCACUCCCACUUCCUGAGGAGGGAUCAAAAGGCAGCAGAGAGAAGGUGAGAAAGUCAGUGAGGUCGAGGGAGCCCAGCACAAUUCUAUCUUCUAGGAAAUCUUCUCUAAACAGACCCUGCUCAGAGUGUGUCACUGCAAAACCCAAGUGGCCAAAGGAACUCUCUGUACUUGGUGGAAACUGCUCAUACCAGUCAGGCCACUGCCUACCUCCCAACACACCAGAUAGGCUUCUUGGUCCUUGUGACAUCAGGUCACAGGACUCUAUUACUCCUCAACCAAACAGCUAGAUAAACAGUGGCUCGACAUGUCAAGAGGCUGGAAGGAGUGCUCGGUAAUGCCAUCUGAGCAGGAAGCAUCUCUCCCUGCUAUAUCUCAGUGCAGUGUGGCAAAUUCACCUGGUUCAGUGAGGCAGUAGGAAGCAAACUUCUCCAUGGUACAGAGCGGUGGGCAAAAUUUGUGCCUCUGUUCCUCAUUUCCGAAGCUAUCAAUCAUCCAGGCACACAUGCUGAUAGGUACACCAAGAAGAAAAGACAAUGACAGAAAUAAAGAUGGAAAAGAAAAAAAAAUGGGGGAGAAGGGGAAAGAGAACAAAGGGCAGGGCAGUGGAGUAAAGCAGAAGAGUGGGAAGGGGAGAGUCACAAUUGGGAAGACUCUUUAAAGGCAAACGGUGGAUUAAAACAUAUUCCUGGAAUAAGGACUACCCAGAGAUAACCAGGCUGAGGUACUUCUCACCAGCACGUUUGUACUACUUCUAGUUAGGUUACACGAGCCUCUAAAAAUCAGAGUUAUAUGUGCUUUCUAUUAGUAGUUUCUAUUACUUCCUCAAAUCACUGGCAGUUCCAUCUUUGGAUUGAGGAAAAGGGUGAGAGGGGCCGGGUGCGGUGGCUCACAUCUGUAAUCCCAGCACUAUGGGAG